AUGGUCCAUGGAUAUGGAGGCCUAACUGCAUAUUCAUCUUUCAAAUUUCUAUAGGAAAUUGACUAAUCAGAGAUCUCUUCUGUGCCUUUACUCACCCUUGGCUCUGGAAAUUUGGAUGAACAUGGCUUCUUUUUUAAAAAAGCCUCUACUCUUCUAGCUUUUAAUACUGGCCUGGCACAGGAAUUUAUCAACUGAAGCUUUUUUCUAUAAGCAAACGAACCAGAGUGCUUUUGGAGACAAGCUUCACAGCAGGCAUCCUUUACUGCCAUCAGUGACAAAGAAAAUUGUAGUGCAUUUCCCCCCUUUGGAUUUUGACACGCUUCUGCCAUCUCUGAUCAAGAGCAAAAUUCUUUCAAGCCAAACACUAGGUUUAUCAUGCUGGCCACACAACCAGGAGACAACACAGCUCCUCUGCUUGGAAAUAAGAAGAGUACCUCCCUCAGAGCCAGAGAUGAGCACUGCCUCAAGAGCAGGAAAUAAAAAGAGAAGCCUUUGCCUUUGUCUGUGUAUGUAUGUCUCAUUGUAUUGCAACAAGGCAUUGAAUGUUUGCCUGUCUCUGUUUAUAUACUGUAAUAUGCUCUGAAUCCCUUCAGGGAUAAGGGUGGAAUAUAAAUAAAGUGUUGUUGUUGUUGUUGUUGUUGUUGUUGUUGUUGUUAAU
rnacentral:lncRNA from 11 species